rnacentral:lncRNA from 11 species
UACAGGUUGAGUUUCCCAUAUCCAAAAUGCUUGGGACCAGAAGUGUUUUGGAUUUCAGAUGUUGGAUUACCUGUAUUGGCAUAUACAAACGUAAUGAAAUAUCUUAGAGAUGGGACAUAUGCCUAAAUUCAAAUUUGCUUUAUGUUUCAUAUGCACCUUAUAAACAGAGCCUGAAGGCUCUCUGCUGCAAGGAAAAGAAAAGCACGCCAUCCUCCAGGCAUGGAUGGACUGCAUCUCUCAUCAGUUUUGACCACUGCAGUCAACAAUGAUAUAUAAUGGGAGUUACAGUACAUCUGGAGGGCCGUAUGUUCACCCAUCUCUGAACUAUUGACUGGCUAAUCCCUCUUAAGACGUCCUUUUUAACAUCUGGAUCCAGAUUUGCACUUUGAGGACAGUUCCUGUUUUGGAUCCACCUGUUUUGAGUUCCCUUACCUGUAGAACCUACCAAAGGAAUAAAGAUCCUAU